rnacentral:rRNA from 1 species
AACGAACGCUGGCGGCAUGCCUAACACAUGCAAGUCGAACGAUCCCUUCGGGGAUAGUGGCGCACGGGUGCGUAACGCGUGGGAACCUGCCCUUAGGUUCGGAAUAACUCAGAGAAAUUUGAGCUAAUACCGGAUAAUGUCUUCGGACCAAAGAUUUAUCGCCUUUGGAUGGGCCCGCGUUGGAUUAGCUAGUUGGUGGGGUAAAGGCCUACCAAGGCGACGAUCCAUAGCUGGUCUGAGAGGAUGAUCAGCCACACUGGGACUGAGACACGGCCCAGACCCCGCGGGAAGGCAGCAGGGGGGAAUUUUGGACAAUGGGCGAAAGCCUGACCCCGCAGUGCCGGGUGGGUGAUGAAGGCCUUAGGGUUUUAAACCUCUUUUCCCCGGGAUGAUAAUGCCGUUCCCGGGGAAAAAACCCCCGGCUACCUCCGU